GUCCUCCAGAUUCCUUUCCCUUGGGAUCUAAACAUUGGUUUGAGUGGCUGCAAAAGGAGAAAAAGCAAAACUGAAGUGGACUUGGAUCCUUUGGUGACAUACAAGUGCAUUUCAGACAAAU
rnacentral:snoRNA from 1 species